GAUGAACGCUGGCGGCGGGCCUAAUACAUGCAAGUCGAGCGAACAGACGAGGAGCUUGCUCCUCUGACGUUAGCGGCGGACGGGUGAGUAACACGUGGAUAACCUACCUAUAAGACUGGGAUAACUUCGGGAAACCGGAGCUAAUACCGGAUAAUAUAUUGAACCGCAUGGUUCAAUAGUGAAAGACGGUUUUGCUGUCACUUAUAGAUGGAUCCGCGCCGCAUUAGCUAGUUGGUAAGGUAACGGCUUACCAAGGCGACGAUGCGUAGCCGACCUGAGAGGGUGAUCGGCCACACUGGAACUGAGACACGGUCCAGACUCCUACGGGAGGCAGCAGUAGGGAAUCUUCCGCAAUGGGCGAAAGCCUGACGGAGCAACGCCGCGUGAGUGAUGAAGGUCUUCGGAUCGUAAAGCUCUGUUAUUAGGGAAGAACAACUGUGUAAGUAACUAUGCACGUCUUGACGGUACCUAAUCAGAAAGCCCCGGCUAACUACGUG
rnacentral:rRNA from 1 species